CUGAAUGGCCAUAUCACAGUGAACUUGCCUGAUCUCAUCUGAUCUCAGAAGCUAAGCAGGGUUGGGCCCAGUUAGUACUUGGAUGGGAGAGCUGCCUUUUUAAUGCUUGAGUAAAUAUUCGCA
rnacentral:rRNA from 1 species